AGAGUUUGAUCAUGGCUCAGAUUGAACGCUGGCGGCAGGCCUAACACAUGCAAGUCGAACGGUAACAGGAUUAGCUUGCUAAUCGCUGACGAGUGGCGGACGGGUGAGUAAUGCUUGGGAACUUGCCUUUGCGGGGGGGAUAACAGUUGGAAACGACUGCUAAUACCGCAUAACGUCUACGGACCAAACGGGGCUUAUGCUCCAGCGCAAAGAGAGGCCCCAGUGAGAUUGGCUAGUUGGUAAGGUAAAGGCUUACCAAGGCAAC
rnacentral:rRNA from 1 species